rnacentral:rRNA from 1 species
GACGAACGCUGGCGGCGUGCUUAACACAUGCAAGUCGAACGGAAAGGCCCUGCUUUUGUGGGGUGCUCGAGUGGCGAACGGGUGAGUAGCACGUGAGUAACCUGCCCUUGACUUUGGGAUAACUUCAGGAAACUGGGGCUAAUACCGGAUAGGAGCUCCUGCUGCAUGGUGGGGGUUGGAAAGUUUCGGCGGUUGGGGAUGGACUCGCGGCUUAUCAGCUUGUUGGUGGGGUAGAGGCUUACCAAGGCUUUGACGGGUAGCCGGCCUGAGAGGGUGACCGGCCACAUUGGGACUGAGAUACGGCCCAGACUCCUACGGGAGGCAGCAGUGGGGAAUAUUGCACAAUGGGCGGAAGCCUGAUGCAGCAACGCCGCGUGCGGGAUGACGGCCUUCGGGUUGUAAACCGCUUUCGCCUGUGACGAAGCGUGAGUGACGGUAAUGGGUAAAGAAGCACCGGCUAACUACGUG